rnacentral:rRNA from 1 species
UAGAUGCGAGAGUAGAGCAUAUCAAUAAGCGGAGGAAAAGAAACUAACAAGGAUUCCCUUAGUAACGGCGAGUGAAGCGGGAAGAGCUCAAAUUUGAAAUCUUCAAGGUUCUACCUUGACGAAUUGUAGUUUAUAGAAGUGUUUUCUGUUAGUAGAGUGGCAAAAGUUCUUUGGAAUAGGACAUCAUAGAGGGUGAGAAUCCCGUAUUUGGUCAUUCUUUCUAGCUUUGUGAUACACUUUCAACGAGUCGGAUUGUUUGGGAAUGCAGUCCAAAAUGGGUGGUAAAUUUCAUCUAAAGCUAAAUAUUGGCGAGAGACCGAUAGCGAACAAGUACCGUGAGGGAAAGAUGAAAAGAACUUUGAAAAGAGAGUUAAACAGUACGUGAAAUUGUCAAAAGGGAAGCGUUUGACACCAGUGUUGUUUUUCCGAAAAUCAAUUACGAAUGUUUUGUUUUUGAGGAAGUUAUGACUUCAUCGGCUUGCUUCUUUCUUUACGAAACUUUCUUAAUGCACUUUUCGGUUAACAAGUCAACAUCAAUUUCUUUUGUUGUAAAAGGGUAUGAGGAAGGUGGCUUUCUUUUCGGAGAAAGUGUUUAUAGCCUUGUACCUCUGCAAUCGGAGAGAUUGAGGUCUGCAGCGUAGAUCCUUCGGGGUUAGAUACAUUUGUGCUAAGUUAUAGCUUUUCAUAGACAACUUGUUGACUAUGUUAAGUCUUGUAGCUUACUCGCUUACUGCUAUUUUACCUACGCUUAGGAUGUUGACACACGCGCGUGCUCG